rnacentral:rRNA from 1 species
AUUGAACGCUGGCGGCAGGCCUAACACAUGCAAGUCGAGCGGAUGAAGGGAGCUUGCUCCUGGAUUCAGCGGCGGACGGGUGAGUAAUGCCUAGGAAUCUGCCUGGUAGUGGGGGAUAACGUCCGGAAACGGGCGCUAAUACCGCAUACGUCCUGAGGGAGAAAGUGGGGGAUCUUCGGACCUCACGCUAUCAGAUGAGCCUAGGUCGGAUUAGCUAGUUGGUGGGGUAAAGGCCUACCAAGGCGACGAUCCGUAACUGGUCUGAGAGGAUGAUCAGUCACACUUGAACUGAGACACGGUCCAGACUCCUACGGGAGGCAGCAGUGGGGAAUAUUGGACAAUGGGCGAAAGCCUGAUCCAGCCAUGCCGCGUGUGUGAAGAAGGUCUUCGGAUUGUAAAGCACUUUAAGUUGGGAGGAAGGGCAGUAAGUUAAUACCUAGCUGUUUGGACGUUACCAACAGAAUAAGCACCGGCUAACUUCGU